CAGCAGUAGCCGCGGUAAUACGGAGGGAGCUAGCGUUAUUCGGAAUUACUGGGCGUAAAGCGCACGUAGGCGGCUUUGUAAGUAAGAGGUGAAAGCCCGGAGCUCAACUCCGGAACUGCCUUUUAGACUGCAUCGCUUGAAUCCAGGAGAGGUGAGUGGAAUUCCGAGUGUAGAGGUGAAAUUCGUAGAUAUUCGGAAGAACACCAGUGGCGAAGGCGGCUCACUGGCCCGAUACUGACGCUGAGGCACGAAAGCGUGGGGAGCAAACAGGAUUAGAGACCCGUGUAGUCCCUGUCUCUUAUAC
rnacentral:rRNA from 1 species